GAAAAAACGGGCAGCACUGACAGAUCUCACUCUAACAAGCAUCGGGUCAAGUGAUUCUGAUAAAGACAAGCAUACCUCAGAAAAGGCCAGCAAGGGCUCGGCCGGUGUGGAAGAAUUGGCCAGGCUUGAGUGCAGCCUUGGGGAAAUGAGCAUUGGUGAGGAGG